UACAGAGGUCCCGAGCGUUGUUCGGAUUCACUGGGCGUAAAGGGUGCGUAGGUGGUGAGGAAAGUCGGAUGUGAAAUCUCCGGGCUCAACCCGGAAACUGCAUUGGAAACUACCUUGCUAGAGGUUUUGAGGGGGGACUGGAAUUCUCGGUGUAGCAGUGAAAUGCGUAGAUAUCGAGAGGAACACCAGUGGCGAAGGCGAGUCCCUGGAAAACACCUGACACUGAGGCACGAAAGCUAGGGGAGCAAACAGG
rnacentral:rRNA from 1 species